rnacentral:rRNA from 1 species
UGGGGAAUAUUGGACAAUGGGCGCAAGCCUGAUCCAGCCAUGCCGCGUGCAGGAUGAAGGCCUUCGGGUUGUAAACUGCUUUUGUACGGAACGAAAAGACUCUGGUUAAUACCUGGGGUCCAUGACGGUACCGUAAGAAUAAGCACCGGCUAACUACGUGCCAGCAGCCGCGGUAAUACGUAGGGUGCGAGCGUUAAUCGGAAUUACUGGGCGUAAAGCGUGCGCAGGCGGUUAUAUAAGACAGAUGUGAAAUCCCCGGGCUCAACCUGGGAACUGCAUUUGUGACUGUAUAGCUAGAGUACGGCAGAGGGGGAUGGAAUUCCGCGUGUAGCAGUGAAAUGCGUAGAUAUGCGGAGGAACACCGAUGGCGAAGGCAAUCCCCUGGGCCUGUACUGACGCUCAUGCACGAAAGCGUGGGGAGCAAACAGGAUUAGAUACCCGUGUAGUCCCUGAGCGGGCUGGCAAGGCGCAU